UACGUAGGGUGCAAGCGUUGUCCGGAAUUAUUGGGCGUAAAGAGCUCGUAGGUGGUUUGUCGCGUUGUCCGUGAAAACUCACAACUCAAUUGUGGGCGUGCGGGCGAUACGGGCAGACUGGAGUACUGCAGGGGAGACUGGAAUUCCUGGUGUAGCGGUGGAAUGCGCAGAUAUCAGGAGGAACACCGGUGGCGAAGGCGGGUCUCUGGGCCGUAACUGACGCUGAGGAGCGAAAGCGUGGGGAGCGAACAGG
rnacentral:rRNA from 1 species